AACGAACGCUGGCGGCAUGCCUAACACAUGCAAGUCGAACGAGACCUUCGGGUCUAGUGGCGCACGGGUGCGUAACGCGUGGGAACCUGCCUUUAGGUUCGGAAUAACUCAGAGAAAUUUGAGCUAAUACCGGAUGAUGUCUUCGGACCAAAGAUUUAUCGCCUUUAGAUGGGCCCGCGUUGGAUUAGCUAGUUGGUGGGGUAAAGGCCUACCAAGGCGACGAUCCAUAGCUGGUCUGAGAGGAUGAUCAGCCACACUGGGACUGAGACACGGCCCAGACUCCUACGGGAGGCAGCAGUGGGGAAUAUUGGACAAUGAGCGAAAGCCUGAUCCAGCAAUGCCGCGUGAGUGAUGAAGGCCUUAGGGUUGUAAAGCUCUUUUACCCGAGAUGAUAAUGACAGUAUCGGGAGAAUAAGCUCCGGCUAACUCCGUG
rnacentral:rRNA from 1 species